AACGCAUAUUGCGCUCGAGCCCUCGGGCAAGAGCAUGUCUGCCUCAGCGUCGGUUUAAACCCUCACCCCUCUCUCUUUUUGAGAGUUGGCCAGCUUUCAGUUGGUCUCAGGGGUGGAUCUGGCUUUCCCAAUCGAUUUAAAUCCGCUUGGGUUGGCUGAAGCAAAGAGGCUUAAGCAAGGACCCAAUAUGGGCUUCAACUGGAUAGGUAGCACCGGCUUCUGCCGUCUACACGAAGUUGUGGCUUGUGGACUUUGCUAGGGGCCAAGCAGGAAACAUGCUUCUUGCAUGUAUCUUACUUUCGACCUGAGCUCAGGCAAGGCUACCCGCUGAACUUAA
rnacentral:misc_RNA from 1 species